GUGCUUGCACUGGUCAAUCUAGUGGCGAACGGGUGGGUAACACGUGGGUAACCUGCCCAUCAGAGGGGGAUAACAUCCGGAAACGGAUGCUAAAACCGCAUAGGUCUUCGAACCGCAUGGUUUGAAGAGGAAAAGAGGCGCAAGCUUCUGCUGAUGGAUGGACCCGCGGUGCAUUAGCUAGUUGGUGAGGUAACGGCUCACCAAGGCCGUGAUGCAUAGCCGACCUGAGAGGGUGAUCGGCCACAUUGGGACUGAGACACGGCCCAAACUCCUACGGGAGGCAGCAGUAGGGAAUCUUCCGCAAUGGACGCAAGUCUGACGGAGCAACGCCGCGUGAGUGAAGAAGGUUUUCGGAUCGUAAAACUCUGUUGUUAGAGAAGAACAAGUGCUAGAGUAACUGUUAGCGCCUUGACGGUAUCUAACCAGAAAGCCACGGCUAACUACGUGCCAGCAGCCGCGGUAAUACGUAGGUGGCAAGCGUUGUCCGGAUUUAUUGGGCGUAAAGCGAGCGCAGGCGGUUCCUUAAGUCUGAUGUGAAAGCCCCCGGCUCAACCGGGGAGGGUCAUUGGAAACUGGGGAACUUGAGUGCAGAAGAGGAGAGUGGAAUUCCAUGUGUAGCGGUGAAAUGCGUAGAUAUAUGGAGGA
rnacentral:rRNA from 1 species